rnacentral:rRNA from 1 species
GACGAACGCUGGCGGCGUGCUUAACACAUGCAAGUCGAACGAAGUGGCGAACGGGUGAGUAAUACGUGAGUAACCUGCCCUCCUUUUUGGGAUAAGCCUUGGAAACGGGGUCUAAUACCGGAUAAAGGGGGAUGGGCUCGCGGCCUAUCAGCUUGUUGGUGGGGUGAUGGCCUACCAAGGCGGUGACGGGUAGCCGGCGUGAGAGGGUGACCGGCGACAUUGGGACUGAGAUACGGCCCAGACGACGACGGGAGGGAGCAGUGGGGGAAAUUGCACAAAGGGCGAAAGCCUGAUGCAGCGACGCCGCGUGGGGGAUGAAGGCUUUCGGGUUGUAAACCUCUUUAGGUAUCGAAAGGGUAGGUGGAGAAGAAGCGCCGGCUAACUACGUGCCAGCAGCCGCGGUAAUAC